rnacentral:rRNA from 1 species
CUGUCCUGACGCUGAAUUGCGAAAGCUAGGGGAGCAAACAGAAUUAGAUACUCUGGUAGUCCUAGCCGUAAACGAUGAGCACUAGGUAUUGGAUCGUAAGGUUCAGUGCCGCAGCUAACGCAUUAAGUGCUCCACCUGGGGACUACGGUCGCAAGGCUAAAACUCAAAGGAAUUGACGGGGACCCGCACAAGCGGUGGAACAUGUGGUUUAAUUCGAUGAUACGCGAAAAACCUCACCAGGGCUUGACAUGUAGGAAGUAGUGAACUGAAAAGGAAACGAGCCGUCAAGUCCGGCAACCUACACAGGUGCUGCAUGGCUGUCGUCAGCUCGUGUCGUGAGAUGUUGGGUUAAGUCCCGCAACGAGCGCAACCAUUUUCCCAUGUUGCCACUUGUUUUUGCCGUAAGGCAGAAGCAAAGCACUCUUGGGAGACCGCCUGGGAUAACCAGGAGGAAGGUGGAGAUGACGUCAAGUCAGUACGGCCCUUAUGUCCUGGGCUACACACGUGUUACAAUGGCUGAUACAAAGGGUUGCCAACCCGCAAGGGGGAGCUAAUCUCAAAAAAUCAGCCUCAGUUCAGAUUGAAGUCUGCAAUUCGACUUCAUGAAGCCGGAAUCGCUAGUAAUGGAAGAUCAGCACGCUUCCGUGAAUACGUUCCCGGGUCUUGUACACACCGCCCGUCAAGCGAUGGGAGCUAGGAGUACCCGAAGUCCUAUGUAGAUAGGCCGAAGGUAAGACUGGUGACUGGCGCUAAGUCGUAACAAGGUAACCAUA